UGAUUCCUCAGGGAGUCCUUUGUGCAACAGGAGAGCACUGGGCUACUGUGCUCUCACCGGCUCUUUGAGUGAUGAGCCAGGCUCUCUCCACCCGCCCACCCCCCCCGGGGGGGCAUCCCCCUUUUUUGUAGCCAAGAGGUGAGGAAACCCUUGGUGCUGCUUGGUGGCAGAUGAACAGGGAGCUACUGACACAUCCCAGGGCCAGCGAGCGGGAACGAGCGCGGGGGCGGGAGCGGCGUGUAGUGGCAGAAGGCCGCCGGGAUUAUGAAUGGGGGUGGGGGCCGGCGAGUUGAGGUUCCACCCGGGAUCGUCCGCACCGGCUGAUGGGCACGCAGGGCUGCGCGUAAUCCUCCAGCCGCGGUGGAGGGAGGCUGCGGCGAGCGCCUGCUGGCAGUAAGGGAUCUUCUGCAAAAGUCCCCUGCGGUCGCGCGCGUGGAGUGCCGGGGAGCUCAGCCAGGUCUAAUCUGCCAUCAGCAACGCUGCACCAAACAGUGGACAGCCAGAGGAGCUGUUUCCCACAUCUAUAAUGAAGAAGAGUAGGAGUGUGAUGGCGGUGACCGCAGAUGAUAAUCUUAAGGACUAUUUUGAAUGUAGCUUGAGUAAAUCCUACAGCUCUUCCAGUUACACCCUCGGGAUUGACCUCUGGAGAGGCAGAAGGUGCUGUUCAGGAAACUUACAGCUGCCACCAUUGUCCCAGAGACAGAGUGAAAGGGCAAGGACCCCCGAGGGAGAUGGCAUUUCCAGGCCAACCACACUACCUUUGACAACACUUCCCAGCAUUGCUAUAACAACUGUGAGCCAGGAGUGCUUUGAUGUGGAAAAUGGCCCUUCUCCAGGUCGGAGCCCACUGGACCCUCAAGCCGGCUCUUCGUCGGGACUGGUACUUCAUGCCGCCUUUCCUGGGCACAGCCAGCGCAGGGAGUCGUUCCUCUACAGAUCUGACAGCGACUAUGACUUGUCACCAAAAGCGAUGUCCAGGAACUCAUCACUUCCCAGUGAGCAACACGGCGAUGACCUGAUUGUCACUCCUUUUGCCCAGGUUCUUGCCAGCUUGCGAAGUGUAAGAAACAACUUCACCCUGCUGACGAACCUUCAUGGAGCGCCGAACAAGAGGUCACCAGCGGCUAGUCAGGCUCCAGUCUCCAGAGUCAGCCUGCAAGAAGAAUCAUAUCAGAAACUAGCAAUGGAGACGCUGGAGGAACUAGACUGGUGCCUAGACCAGCUAGAGACCAUCCAGACCUACCGCUCUGUCAGCGAGAUGGCUUCAAACAAGUUCAAAAGGAUGCUGAACCGGGAGCUGACACACCUCUCAGAGAUGAGCAGAUCAGGGAACCAGGUGUCUGAGUACAUUUCAAACACGUUCUUAGACAAGCAGAACGAUGUGGAAAUCCCAUCUCCCACGCAGAAGGACAGGGAGAAGAAGAAGAAGCAGCAGCUCAUGACCCAGAUAAGUGGAGUGAAGAAACUGAUGCACAGCUCAAGCCUGAACAACACAAGCAUCUCACGCUUCGGAGUCAACACGGAAAAUGAGGAUCAUCUAGCCAAGGAGCUGGAAGACCUGAACAAAUGGGGCCUUAACAUCUUCAAUGUGGCUGGGUACUCACAUAAUCGGCCCCUUACGUGCAUCAUGUAUGCAAUAUUCCAGGAAAGAGACCUUCUGAAGACGUUUAAAAUCUCAUCUGACACCUUUGUAACCUACAUGAUGACUUUAGAAGACCAUUACCAUUCUGAUGUGGCAUAUCACAACAGCCUGCAUGCUGCUGACGUGGCCCAGUCAACUCACGUUCUCCUUUCUACGCCGGCACUGGAUAUUCUGAACUUGCUUUGAUGUAUAAUGAUGAAUCUGUUCUGGAAAACCAUCACCUUGCUGUGGGAUUCAAAUUGCUACAAGAGGAACACUGCGACAUCUUUCAGAAUCUUACCAAGAAGCAACGCCAGACACUCAGGAAAAUGGUGAUUGACAUGGUGUUGGCAACUGAUAUGUCCAAACACAUGAGCCUCCUGGCAGACCUUAAAACAAUGGUAGAAACCAAGAAGGUGACAAGCUCCGGUGUUCUCCUCCUGGACAACUAUACUGACCGGAUACAGGUUCUUCGCAACAUGGUACACUGUGCAGACCUGAGCAACCCCACCAAGUCCUUGGAAUUGUAUCGGCAAUGGACCGAUCGUAUCAUGGAGGAGUUUUUCCAGCAGGGAGACAAAGAACGGGAGAGGGGAAUGGAGAUUAGCCCAAUGUGUGAUAAGCACACAGCUUCUGUGGAAAAAUCCCAGGUUGGUUUCAUUGACUACAUUGUCCAUCCACUGUGGGAGACCUGGGCAGACCUGGUUCAACCGGAUGCUCAAGAUAUUCUGGAUACACUAGAAGAUAACAGGAACUGGUACCAGAGUAUGAUACCCCAGAGCCCUUCCCCGCCACUGGAUGAGAGGAGCAGGGACUGCCAAGGCCUGAUGGAGAAGUUUCAGUUUGAACUGACCCUUGAGGAAGAGGAUUCUGAGGGACCGGAAAAGGAGGGAGAAGGCCACAGCUAUUUCAGCAGCACAAAGACGCUUUGUGUGAUUGAUCCAGAGAACAGGGAUUCUCUGGAAGAGACUGACAUAGACAUUGCAACAGAAGACAAGUCUCCGAUCGACACAUAAUCUCUCUCCCUCUGUGUGGAGAUGAACAUUCCACCCUUGACGAGCAUGCCCGCUGAGUGGUAGGGUCAACCUACCAUGGCCAAGGCCUGCACAGGACAAAGGCCACCUGGCCUUUCCAGUUACUUGAGUUUGGAGCCAGAAUGCCAGGCCGUGAAGCAAAUAGCAGUUCCAUGCUGUCUUGCCUUGCCUGCAAGCUUGGCGGAGACCCGCAGCUGUAUGUGGUAGUAGAGGCCAGUUCCCAUCAAAGCUAAAUGGCUUGAAAACAGAGGACACAAAGCUGAGAGAUUGCUCUGCACUAGGUGUUGGGAAGCUGUCCUGACAGAUGACUGAACUCACUAACAACUUCAUCUAUAAAUCUCACCACCCAACCCAUUGUCUGCCAACCUGUGUGCCUUUUUUGUAAAAUGUUUUCGCGUCUUUGAAAUGCCUGUUGAAUAUCUAGAGUUUAGUACCAACUUCUACAAACUUUUUUGAGUCUUUCUUGAAAAACAAAAAAAAAAGAAAAAAAGAAAAAGAAAGAAAGCAGUUUCCCUUCUUUCUUGGGCAAUAUCUCUAGCUUUCCUCCAGUUAACUUUUGCAAAUAGACAGGACAGAUGCAGUUCUAACCACAGGCUACUUCCUUCUCUUUGUCCAAUCUGACUCUGUAGUGGCCCCUGCAACUUAGCUGUUUGCCUGCUUUGAGCACUGUUUUUUCCCUGGCAAGUCUCUCUGCUUUGCUUUAAACUCAUGCUCAACACACCAGGAGGUCUGUGGAAAAGCUGAUGUUUCCCAUCAGUCUAGAAGUGCUCAGUCACACAAGGCCGUGUGUAUGGCUGCAUCCAGCCCCCAGGCCACUGUGAGCUACACAGCACCUGUUAUCCCUCCUCUCCCCCCUCCCUCCCUCAAGCAUACUGUUUUCAAUUUAAUGCUGCUGUCUUUGUCUUGUACUGUCUCCCCCCUGCCCCCGCACUAACACUUCCCUCUCUUCCUGUUUAUAACCAUGUAUUUAUUACAUAAUGUACAUAUUGUAAUGUUUUGUAAGUUAUUAAUUUAUAUAUCUAACAUUGCCUGCCAAUGGUGGUGUUAAAUUUGUGUAGAAAACUCUGCCUAAGAGUUCCAACCUUUUCUUGUAAUGUUUUGUAUUGUGUAUUAUAUAUCCCAGACAUUGCUUAAGAGAAACAUGGAGCCCCAUCAGCAGUUAAGGACAGGAAUGGUCAUUGUUCCAAGGGUCUGCCCUUUCCUUGUCUUGAGUCCCUAGUUCUGCCCAACCCUUUGAUGAGCUGGUUUUGCAAACAGGAUUAUCAUAUUCGAUACUAAAUGGUUUAUACUGAAGUUUUAUUUUAUAUAGUUUGGUAGGGGCUAGGAGCACUGGGAUGUCGUUUUUUUCACCCAUGUUCUAUCCAAGUCUCUGGAUGCAUGAGUUGAGUUUGUCACUGGGCUCUGCUCUAAUUGUGGCUUUCGUUUUAAAAAAAUAAACAACACUACAUUUGAUCACAGAUGAUACUGAGUAUCCCCAAACUACUGACUUGGAAGAGCUAGUCUCCAUACUGCUCACGAGCAGUGGAGCCAUGUUCAAAUUCAUCAAAGGCAACAAGAAGACAAUGUGAAUUUUUAUCGUAGAAUGUGAACUGAUGUCGUAAAUGACGCAAUGUGAAGCUUCUGAUAACACUUGUCAGGCCUCUUCCUGGUGUCAGUUUCAGUUUGUAAAAUACGUGUCAUGCUUCAGUUCAGCAUUGUGACAAUAGUUAAAGAAAAUGGCACAAAAUGUGCAUGACCAAUGGGUUCGUACGUCUGUAACACUGCAUUGUUCCAGGUGGACGUUAUAUUGUUUUCAAAAGUUUCUCACAAUGUAUGUUAUAAUAUUAUUACUAUUAUAUAUUGUGCUCAAAUGCAUUCUUAAGAGACUUUUAUAUGAGCUGAAUAAACAAAAGCAUGAAUAAAUUA